rnacentral:rRNA from 1 species
GACGAACGCUGGCGGCGUGCUUAACACAUGCAAGUCGAGCGGAAAGGCCUUUUCGGAGGUUCUCGAGUGUCGAACGGGUGAGUAACACGUGGGUGAUCUUCCCUUCACUCUGGGAUAAGCCUGGGAAACUGGGUCUAAUACCGGUUAGGACCGCACUUUUGUGCGUGUUGUUGAAAGUUUUUUCGGUGUAUGAUGAGCCCGCGGCGUAUCAGCUCGUUGGUGGGGUAAUGGACUGCCAAGUCGGCGACGGGUAGCCCGACUGAGAGGUUGAUCGGCCACAUUGAGACUGAGGGGAGGCCCAGACAGGGACGGGUGGCAGAAGUGGGGAAGAUUGCACAAGGGGCGCAGGCCGGAUGCAGAGACGCCGCGGGGGGUAGGACGGUCUUAGGGUGGAAGAAUACAUGCGCCAGGGACGAAGCGUUUUGUGACGGUACCUGGAGAAGAAGCAACGGCUAACUACGUG